rnacentral:rRNA from 1 species
ACUCCUACGGGAGGCAGCAGUGGGGAAUAUUGCACAAUGGGGGAAACCCUGAUGCAGCCAUGCCGCGUGUGUGAAGAAGGCCUUCGGGUUGUAAAGCACUUUCAGUAGGGAGGAAGGUAGUGUAGUUAACACCUGCAUUAUUUGUACGUUACCUACAGAAGAAGCACCGGCUAACUCCGUGCCAGCAGCCGCGGUAAGUACGGAGGGUGCGAGCGUUAAUCGGAAUUACGUGGGCGUAAAGCGCAUGCGAGGCGGCCUUGUUAAGUCAGAUGUGAAACGCCCGGGGCUUAACCUCGGAAUUGCAUUUGAAACUGGCAGGCUAGAGUCUUGUAGAGGGGUUAGAAUUUCGAGGUGUAGCGUGAAAUGCGUAGAGAUC